CUCCAACCUUAUUUGAUUUUUUUUCCAACUUGCAGCAGAACACUCGAGGUGUUUCAAAUUAGAGAUAUUUUGAGUUGCAGAGGUAAAACAAAAGCUUAAGACAAUGGAAACACUUGAAAAGGAACUCAUCCACCGUCAGAGAGCUUUAUUGAAAAAAAAACAAUGAUCCAGAUUCCUCAGAGAACGUGUAAGAGGUCGAACAAACAGAGAGAGAGAGAGACUGGUCAAGUUGCAGAUAAGAAGCGUUUACGAGAAAAACAGAGGCUGUUAAAUCAAUAUGUUCACAGAGAUAGUCCGAGUUAGGUAACGAAUGAAUGGAACGAGAGCUUUACUAAGGUUUAGCACAAAGGGUCAAUGGAUAAGAAGUAUAACUCUUUCUGGGUUUCUCUCUCUAGGUGACUCGCUGCUACCGCCAAAGUAAAGUUUCAAUCUUUGUAGUUUUUCAGUUUAGCUUUUUGGAUUUAUUGGGUUUCGAAGAUCUGGACAUCUUUAGAAUCAGAUUCAAUCACUGUUUCAUGUGCUAAGGUUUGUUAGGUACUCAGUAGACUUUGGUGUUUCAUUGAAGUACCUGGAAAUGGUUUUAAGUGGCAAAGACACAAACUUUUAGAGUAUUGAGUUAUGUGUCUUGAUGUUUGGACGGUUGAUUCUUCAGUAUAUUAUCAGUUCUCUAUCUGGACGUGUAAUUAAAGAAUAUGUUCAGAAGCUUAUAGUAAUAACUUGAGAUUCUGGUGGAUGAUCAAGAGGGAGUCAGGUGCAAGCGAGUGAAACACAAGAGAGUCAGAUGCAAGCGAGGGAGACACAAGAGAGUCAGGGAGAACAGCAAGCAAGCGAGUCACAAGAGCAAACGAGCCAGUCUCAGCAAGUCUCUGUAC